rnacentral:rRNA from 1 species
UACGUAGGGGGCAAGCGUUGUCCGGAUUUAUUGGGCGUAAAGAGCUCGUAGGUGGUUCGGUAAGUCGGAUGUGAAAUCUCCAGGCUCAACCUGGAGGGGUCAUUCGAUACUGCCGUGACUAGAGGUCGGUAGGGGAGUGUGGAAUUCCUGGUGGAGCGGUGAAAUGCGCAGAUAUCAGGAGGAACACCUAUAGCGAAGGCAGCUUGCUGGGACGACACUGACGCUGAGGCGCGAAAGCGUGGGGAGCGAACAGG